rnacentral:miRNA from 1 species
CAUGCCCCAAUUAAACCCAAACCC